rnacentral:rRNA from 1 species
UACGUAGGGUGCAAGCGUUGUCCGGAAUUAUUGGGCGUAAAGAGCUCGUAGGCGGUCUGUUGCGUCGGCUGUGAAAACCCGGGGCUCAACCCCGGGCCUGCAGCCGAUACGGGCAGACUAGAGUGCGGUAGGGGAGAUUGGAAUUCCUGGUGUAGCGGUGAAAUGCGCAGAUAUCAGGAGGAACACCGGUGGCGAAGGCGGGUCUCUGGGCCGUAACUGACGCUGAGGAGCGAAAGCAUGGGGAGCGAACAGG